rnacentral:snRNA from 1 species
AUAUUUACCUGAUGCCGGGGCCUCGUUGAUCACCGAGGACGAGCCCCCACGGCGAGGCUCGGGAAUAGCACUGCGCUCGCGUUGACCCCUGCCACUAGCCCAAACUGGGGCAGAUGGGACAUGCAAAUUGC